ACUCCUAGUAUCGAUACUCCUAAUAUCGAUCACGAAGCCCAGAAUAUGGAUUUAUAUCGUGACUGCUUCAACGGCAGCUUUCGCCUUCCUGGCCUAACCCUACCUCUUUCUCUAAUCGAAAUCAGACGUGCGUACUCUGGACCGUUUUGUGGACCUGCUUAGCUUUCACCUUCUUGGCCUAACCCUACCUCUUUCUCUAAUAGAAAUCAGAUGUGCAUACUUUGGAUCGUUUUGUGGACCUGCUUGUCCUUUCUUACCUCUCGAAAAAGAACUCCGUAAAACAAUU
rnacentral:lncRNA from 1 species